AAUUUUAAGGUCAAGCUACAAAGGGCGCAUGGUGAAUGCCUGGGCACUAGGAGCCGAAGAAGGACGCGAUAAGCUGCGAUAAGCCUUGGGUAGCCGCAAAUAGGCUGAGAUCCAGGGAUUUCCGAAUGAGGAAACUCACAUGGG
rnacentral:rRNA from 1 species